CUGCAAGCUUGAGAUCCGCAGGAAGGGCAGCCAGCCCCCAAAGACCCCAAUGUGGUGGAGUGGUGCUGAUUUUUCUCUCUUUCUCUCCCACUGCAGGUUCCCCCCUCGCAACUGACUCCGACACAUCCGCCUGCCUGCCACUUGGCGGCCACAGCUCCCUGGAGAACUUCCCAGGUAUGCAUCAGUGCUAUUUUUCUAGAAAAAGAGGUGCCAGAACUCACCGUGAACUUCUCCCUUGUUCUCUUAUAAUGGCAAUGGUCGCCACCUGAAUUCCGGUGAGUUCCGGCUGAAAAAAAUCCCUGGUAUCAGGAAUUGAAAUCGUCAAGUAUUUUCUGUAUCACAGAGCUCGUUGCACCGGAAAGUCCUCUGGAAGAACGUACAGCAAGACAUGUCCGCUUCGUGAAUUUGGACUCUGGGAGACAGUGCCAGCAUAACCUGUGGAAUUAAUUGGAAAGCAAUUCUGAAUGCUUUCUCAUCAGAAUGCCUUACCACUGUAUUGGACUACUGCAAUGCGCUCAACAUGGGGCUACCUUUGAAGGUGACCCGGAAACCACAACUACUCCAGAAUGUGGCAGCUAGACUGGUGACUGGGAGUGGCUGCUGAGACCAUAUUACACCGGUCCUGAAAGACCUACGUUGGCUCCCAGUACGUUUCUGAGCACAAUUCAAAGUGUUGGUGCUGACCUUGAAAGCCCUGCGAGAACUGAGGUUAAAGGGAAUCAGGCAGAGGGGCUUCUCGGUAGUGGCGCCCACCCUGUGGAACGCCCUCCCACCAGAUGUCUAGGAAAUAAACAACAAUCUGACUUUUAGAAGACAUCUGAAGGCAGCCCUGUAUAGGGAAAUUUUUAAUGUUUGAUCUUUUAUUGUGUUUUUAACAUCCUGUUGGGAGCUGCCCGGAGUGGUAUAAAUGGGCAGUGUACAAUAAUAAUAAUAAUAAUAAUAAUAAUAAUAAUAAUAAUAAUAAUUCAAUCUCCUUUUAUAAAACAGCAAAUCUAAACAAUGCUCUUUCUAUACCCUUUGAACAAUUUCCUUUGGAACUAACUGCACUUGCACUAAUUGUAAUUGCACUUGGAAUUAAUUAGGGUUGCCAUACACCCAGGAAAACCCAGGCAUGCCCUCUUUUUGGGAUCCAACAUGCCCAUUCAGGUGUAUUUUUACAUUUUAAAGGAAAUGUCUGGGUCAGUGGGGGUGGGGUUCAGACUCAGGUUGCUCUGCACGCUGCAGCCGCUGCCAU
rnacentral:lncRNA from 1 species